rnacentral:rRNA from 1 species
AUUGAACGCUGGCGGCAGGCCUAACACAUGCAAGUCGAGCGAGGGGCGGAGGGGUGAGAAAUGCCUGGGAAUUGCGCAGGCGAGGGGGAUAACAGGUGGAAACGACUGCUAAUACCGCAAACGAAUUGAUGGCCCAGGUGGGAGUAGCUAGUUGGUGAUGUAAUGGCGCACCAAGGCGACGACCCCUAGGUGGUCAGAGGGGUUGGUCAGCCAAACUGGAACUGAGGAACGGGCCAGGCUCCUACGGGAGGCAGCAUUGGGGAAUAUUGCACAAUGGGGGAAAGCCUGAUGCAGCCAUGCCGCGUGUGUGAAGAAGGCCUUCGGGUUGUAAAGCACUUUCAGCGGUGAGGCGUUACUCGCAGAAGAAGCACCGGCUAACUCCGUGCCAGCAGCCGCGGUAAUUC